rnacentral:rRNA from 1 species
CUUGGUCAUUUAGAGGAAGUAAAAGUCGUAACAAGGUUUCCGUAGGUGAACCUGCGGAAGGAUCAUUAGCGAAUUGUAAUGGGAGUUGAUGCUGGUAAAGGGAGAAACAAACACCUUUGCAUGUGCUCGCUUCUAACAAUUUUUUAUCCAAACACCUGUGCACCUUUUGAGGGGAGAUUAAUCUUUAUCGGGUUUUCUCUCUUCAUUUUUAUACAUACACACUAGUUUCAAUGUUGAAUGUGCUUGUGCCCUAUAAUCAAAGGGCCUUGAAUAAAUACAACUUUUAACAACGGAUCUCUUGGCUCUUGCAUCGAUGAAGAACGCAGCGAAAUGCGAUAAGUAAUGUGAAUUGCAGAAUUCAGUGAAUCAUCGAAUCUUUGAACGCACCUUGCGCCCCCUGGUAUUCCGGGGAGCACACCUGUUCGAGUGUCUUGAAACUGUCAAGCUGGGGAACCUUUUGUUUAGAAAGGUGGCCUAUGUUUGGUUAUUGGGCUCUGCCAUGUCCUGCAAUUGGGAAUGGCUGGCCUUAAAAAUAUUAGCUGACCUUGAUAUAACAGUGAUAAUCUACUCGGCGUAUUAAUGAUACACAGACCGCAGAGGAUGCUGUUAUCUUGGGUUGCUUUCCAAUCUGGUAUUUGGUGGUUCUCAGGAAUCCAUUAUCCAUCUUCAAAUUUGACCUCGAAUCAGGUGGGACUACCCGCUGAACUUAAGCAUAUCAAUAAGCGGAGGAAAAGAAACUAACAAGGAUUCCCCUAGUAACGGCGAGUGAAGAGGGAAAAGCUCAAAUUUAAAAUCUGGCAGUCUUUGAUUGUCCGAGUUGUAGUCUAGAGAAGUGUAAUCCGUGUUGGACUGUGUACAAGUUUCCUGGAUACGGAACAUCAUAGAGGGUGAGAAUCCCGUCCUUGACACAGACUACCAAUGCUUUGUGAUGCGCUCUCGACGAGUCGAGUUGUUUGGGAUUGCAGCUCAAAAUGGGAGGUAAAUUCCUUCUAAAGCUAAAUAUUGGCAAGAGACCGAUAGCGAACAAGUACCGUGAGGGAAAGAUGAAAAGCACUUUGGAAAGAGAGUUAAACAGUACGUGAAAUUGUUAAAAGGGAAACGCUUGAAGUCAGGCAUGUUUAUUUGGACUCAACCUUGCUGUGGCUUGGUGCAUUUCCUUGUAGACAAGCCAGCGUCCAUGUUGUUUAUCGAAAAAAGGGUGAAAGAAUGUGGCUCCUUUGGGAGUGUUAUAGCUUUUUCUCGUAUGCGGUGACUAAUAUGGAGUGGUACAGCAUGCUUCGGUGGUGCUUGUGCUGGCAUAAUGGCUUUAAACGACCCGUCUUGAAACACGGACC